rnacentral:rRNA from 1 species
UACGAAGGAUCCAAGCGUUAUCCGGAUUUAUUGGGCGUAAAGAGCGUGUAGGCGGUUUGGUAAGUCCGCUGUGAAAACUCGAGGCUCAACCUCGAGACGCCGGUGGAAACCAUCAGGCUAGAGUCCGGAAGAGGAGAGUGGAAUUCCUGGUGUAGCGGUGGAAUGCGCAGAUAUCAGGAAGAACACCAACGGCGAAGGCAGCUCGCUGGGACGGAACUGACGCUAAGGCGCGAAAGCGUGGGGAGCGAACAGG